CCUCUCAUGGCGUAGGGGUAACGCGACGUAAAUAGAGAUCAGGGAGCCGUGAGUUCGAUUCUCACUGAGAAGA
rnacentral:tRNA from 1 species